rfam:Brachypodium distachyon strain Bd21 chromosome 3, whole genome shotgun sequence.
AAAAUAAUCCCUCCAUCCAACAAAGGAUGUCUCGACUUUGACUAAAUUUGAAUGCAUCUAUAUACUAAGUCAUGUCUAGAUACAUCCAAAUUUUGACAAACUUGAGACAUCUUUUGUUGGGCGGAGGGAGUAUAUG